rnacentral:rRNA from 1 species
CGCGAGGUGGAGCAAAUCCCUAAAAGCCAUCCCAGUUCGGAUUGCAGGCUGCAACCCGCCUGUAUGAAGUUGGAAUCGCUAGUAAUCGCGGAUCAGCAUGCCGCGGUGAAUACGUUCCCGGGCCUUGUACACACCGCCCGUCACACCAUGAGAGUCGGGAACACCCGAAGUCCGUAGCCUAACCGCAAGGGGGGCGCGGCCGAAGGUGGGUUCGAUAAUUGGGGUGAAGUCGUAACAAGGUAAC